ACGGAAGGCAGCAGUGGGGAAUAUUGGGCAAUGGGCGCAAGCCUGACCCAGCAACGCCGCGUGAAGGAAGAAGGCUUUCGGGUUGUAAACUUCUUUUAUCAGGGACGAUAAUGACGGUACCUGAUGAAUAAGCUCCGGCUAACUACGUGCCAGCAGCCGCGGUAAUACGUAGGGAGCAAGCGUUAUCCGGAUUUACUGGGUGUAAAGGGCGUGUAGGCGGGACUGCAAGUCAGAUGUGAAAACUAUGGGCUCAACUCAUAGCCUGCAUUUGAAACUGUAGUUCUUGAGUGGUGGAGAGGCAAAUGGAAUUCCUAGUGUAGCGGUGAAAUGCGUAGAUAUUAGGAAGAACACCAGUGGCGAAGGCGAUUUGCUGGACACUAACUGACGCUGAGGCGCGAAAGCGUGGGGAGCAAACAGGAUUAGAUACCCUGGUA
rnacentral:rRNA from 1 species